GGGCGAACGCCAGCUCAGAGCAAGUUCAGUCCUGAAGGGUGGGGCGGCUUGCAGUGACGAGGUAAUGCAGUCACGGGUGUGUGAAACUUCUUUUAAAUGUUUUUAUUCGUCGUGAGGAUGUGAUGGGGAAGCUUUGGAAGAUUUAUGUGAAAACGUUCUGCGCAGCCACUGCCUCUGCGAUCACUUUAGAUCUGGCGAUGAAGCAGUCUGCUGAAAUCUAUCUUGCAGACCGAGUAUAUAAAAUACCAGUUAUAAUAUACAAAGUAUCCAUGGUGGGCAGAAAAGGGCGCUGGAUACUCUGGAGCUAGAGUUACAGGUCAUUGUGAACCACUUGAUGCUGGGAUCUGAACUUGGGUCCUUGGGAAAAGCAGGAAACAUUCUUAACUGAUUGAGCAACCUCUCCAACCUUCACAGAAGUUUUUUAAAAGCGUUUUGAAUGUUUUUAUUAGUACAUAUUAAUUAAAGUAACAAGGAAUUUCACUA